UCUGGCUCAGGACGAACGCUGGCGGCGUGCUUAACACAUGCAAGUCGAACGAUGAUGCCCAGCUUGCUGGGCGGAUUAGUGGCGAACGGGUGAGUAAUACGUGAGUAACCUGCCCUUGACUCUGGGAUAAGCCUGGGAAACUGGGUCUAAUACUGGAUACUACCUCUUGCCGCAUGGUGGGUGGUGGAAAGGGUUUUACUGGUUUUGGAUGGGCUCACGGCCUAUCAGCUUGUUGGUGGGGUAAUGGCUCACCAAGGCGACGACGGGUAGCCGGCCUGAGAGGGUGACCGGCCACACUGGGACUGAGACACGGCCCAGACUCCUACGGGAGGCAGCAGUGGGGAAUAUUGCACAAUGGGCGGAAGCCUGAUGCAGCGACGCCGCGUGAGGGAUGACGGCCUUCGGGUUGUAAACCUCUUUCAGUAGGGAAGAAGCGAGAGUGACGGUACCUGCAGAAGAAGCGCCGGCUAACUACGUGCCAGCAGCCGCGGUAAUACGUAGGGCGCAAGCGUUGUCCGGAAUUAUUGGGCGUAAAGAGCUCGUAGGCGGUUUGUCGCGUCUGCUGUGAAAGCCCGGGGCUCAACCCCGGGUCUGCAGUGGGUACGGGCAGACUAGAGUGCAGUAGGGGAGACUGGAAUUCCUGGUGUAGCGGUGAAAUGCGCAGAUAUCAGGAGGAACACCGAUGGCGAAGGCAGGUCUCUGGGCUGUUACUGACGCUGAGGAGCGAAAGCAUGGGGAGCGAACAGGAUUAGAUACCCUGGUAGUCCAUGCCGUAAACGUUGGGCACUAGGUGUGGGGGACAUUCCACGUUUUCCGCGCCGUAGCUAACGCAUUAAGUGCCCCGCCUGGGGAGUACGGCCGCAAGGCUAAAACUCAAAGGAAUUGACGGGGGCCCGCACAAGCGGCGGAGCAUGCGGAUUAAUUCGAUGCAACGCGAAGAACCUUACCAAGGCUUGACAUUCACCGGACCGCCCCAGAGAUGGGGUUUCCCUUCGGGGCUGGUGGACAGGUGGUGCAUGGUUGUCGUCAGCUCGUGUCGUGAGAUGUUGGGUUAAGUCCCGCAACGAGCGCAACCCUCGUUCUAUGUUGCCAGCACGUGAUGGUGGGGACUCAUAGGAGACUGCCGGGGUCAACUCGGAGGAAGGUGGGGAUGACGUCAAAUCAUCAUGCCCCUUAUGUCUUGGGCUUCACGCAUGCUACAAUGGCCGGUACAAAGGGUUGCGAUACUGUGAGGUGGAGCUAAUCCCAAAAAGCCGGUCUCAGUUCGGAUUGAGGUCUGCAACUCGACCUCAUGAAGUCGGAGUCGCUAGUAAUCGCAGAUCAGCAACGCUGCGGUGAAUACGUUCCCGGGCCUUGUACACACCGCCCGUCAAGUCACGAAAGUUGGUAACACCCGAAGCCGGUGGCCUAACCCCUUGUGGGAGGGAGCCGUCGAAGGUGGGACUGGCGAUUGGGACUAAGUCGUAACAAG
rnacentral:rRNA from 1 species